rnacentral:rRNA from 1 species
UCGAGAAUCUUCGGCAAUGGGCGCAAGCCUGACCGAGCGACGCCGCGUGCGGGAUGAAGGCCUUCGGGUUGUAAACCGCUGUCAGUGGGGAGGAAAUGCAUCAGGGUUCUCUCUGGUGUUUGACCGAUCUUCAGAGGAAGGCCGGGCUAAGUUCGUGCCAGCAGCCGCGGUAAGACGAACCGGUCGAACGUUAUUCGGAAUCACUGGGCUUAAAGAGUGCGUAGGCGGUCUUGCAGGUGAGGUGUGAAAUCCCUCGGCUCAACCGAGGAACUGCGCUUCAAACCGUUAGGCUUGAGGGAGAUAGAGGUGAGCGGAACUGAUGGUGGAGCGGUGAAAUGCGUUGAUAUCAUCAGGAACACCUGUGGCGAAAGCGGCUCACUGGGUCUCUUCUGACGCUGAGGCACGAAAGCUAGGGUAGCGAACAGGAUUAGAUACCCCGGUAGUCC